AAAAAUUUAGUUAAAAUAUAACAUUAGCUUGUCAAGCUUAAAUUAUUUAAAAAUAAUUUUUA
rnacentral:tRNA from 1 species